AGAGCGCUGAGUCUGAGAUGAGGCCACAGAAAGCAGACAGCGCCAAGAACAUGGCCACGGUCAGAGAUGCCAACGCCCAGCCACAUUCCUCCAGUGAUCAGUUCUUCUGAUCAAUCCUGUUUGAACCAGGACAUCAGCUCUUCUUGGGUCUGGAGCCUGCCAGCCUUUGGAUGGGAACCACACCAACACAAUCCUGGUUAUCAGGCCUUUGUACUUAGACUGGAAUGAAACCACCAGCUCUUUUGGGUCUCCAGCUUGCUGACUCACCCUGUAGUAGUUGCAACUUGCCUUCUUCCAUAAUCACAUAAGCCAAUUCCUUAAAAUCAAUCAACCAACCAAUCAAUCAAUCAAUCAAUUUUAUUGAUUUAUUUCCAUGGAGAACCCUAAUACAGAAUAUUGUUAUGAUUGGUUCAAAGUGCUGUACAACAGAAAUAUAAUGUGAGUCAUUUGUGUAAUUCCAAGUCUUCUAGUAGCCACAUUAAAAAUAAAGAUGAAAUCACUUGUGGUAAUAUAUUUUAUUUAACCCAAGCUAUUCAAAACAUUUACUGUGAC